CAAGCGUUAUCCGGAUUCAUUGGGUUUAAAGGGUGCGUAGGCGGAUUGGUAAGUCAAAGGUGAAAGUCUGUAGCUUAACUAUAGAAGUGCCUUUGAUACUGCUAGUCUUGAGUACAGUUGAGGCGAGUGGAAUGUGUAGUGUAGCGGUGAAAUGCAUAGAUACUACACAGAACACCAAUUGUGAAGACAGCUCGCUAAGCUGCUACUGACGCUCAGGCACGAAAGCGUGGGGAGCGAACAGGAUUAGAUACCCUGGUAGUCCACGCUGUAAACUAUGAUCACUAGCUGUUGGCGAUAAAUUGUCAGUGGCUGAGCGAAAGCGUUAAGUGAUCCACCUGGGGAGUACGAUCGCAAGGUUGAAACUCAAAGGAAUUGACGGGGGCCCGCACAAGCGGUGGAACAUGCGGUUUAAUUCGAUGAUACGCGAGGAACCUUACCUGGGCUUAAAUGUAGAACGACGUCCUGAGAAAUCGGGAUUCCCUUCGGGGCGGACUACAAGGUGCUGCAUGGUUGUCGUCAGCUCGUGCCGUGAGGUAUCGGGUUAAGUCCCAUAACGAGCGCAACCCCUAUUGUUAGUUGCCAGCGGAUAAUGCCGGGGACUCUAACAAAACUGCCCGUGUAAACGGGAGGAAGGUGGGGAUGACGUCAAAUCAGCACGGCCCUUAUGUCCAGGGCUACACACGUGUUACAAUGGCUGGAACAAAGGGCAGCUACCACGCGAGUGGAUGCUAAUCUCUAAAUCCAGUCUCAGUUCGGAUCGGAGUCUGCGAUUCGACUCCGUGAAGUUGGAUUCGC
rnacentral:rRNA from 1 species